rnacentral:rRNA from 1 species
AUGCAAAGGCAUAGCAAACUAUGUGUCUCCACAUCCAACCCUAUGUUCGGACUCCAAGAUUGGGCAAACCUUCCGAAGGAUCUGCUACAAUCAAUUUUCUCUCACUUAGGCUCAAUCUGUGACCUUCUCGCCUUUGUUGCAACCUGCCGUUCUUGGCGGGUUGCAUUAACUUCAUACUCAUCCAAAUCCACCUUAUGCACUUUAUUCCCGCCUCUCCUCAUCCAACCCAAUAUUCGUGUCCAUGUUCGUCGUCCUCCAUGUAACAAUGGUCAUCGCAACUUACAGGCAUAUAAAGUUAUCGAUCCAGCCAAGCAAAGUGCCACCGGCCUUCACUGUCAUAUUGAUGAAGAAAUUUUGCAGACGAUGCGUUGUGCUGGCCCUUCAUAUGGUCAACUCAUCUUCUACAACCGUGGACAUUGCGUUGUUGUUGAUCCUUUUAGAGGUACCAAGGCCCAUUACGUGAUGACUAUAGAAAGCUCAACUGGUCUGAUAUUCCAUUCAAACAAAAAAUCAUGGAGCUUCAAUAACUAG